GGGAGUGGCAAGCGUUAUCCGGAAUUAUUGGGCGUAAAGCGUCCGCAGGCGGCCUUUCAAGUCUGCUGUUAAAACGUGGAGCUCAACUCCAUCAUGGCAGUGGAAACUGAUCGGCUUGAGUAUGGUAGGGGCAGAGGGAAUUCCCGGUGUAGCNDUGAAAUGCGUAGAUAUCGGGAAGAACACCAG
rnacentral:rRNA from 1 species